rnacentral:rRNA from 1 species
GAUGAACGCUAGCUACAGGCUUAACACAUGCAAGUCGAGGGGAAACGACAUCGAAAGCUUGCUUUUGAUGGGCGUCGACCGGCGCACGGGUGAGUAACGCGUAUCCAACCUGCCCAUCACUUGGGAAUAACCUUGCGAAAGUAAGACUAAUACCCAAUGACAUCCCACGAAGACAUCUGAAUGGGAUUAAAGAUUUAUCGGUGAUGGAUGGGGAUGCGUCUGAUUAGCUUGUUGGCGGGGUAACGGCCCACCAAGGCAACGAUCAGUAGGGGUUCUGAGAGGAAGGUCCCCCACAUUGGAACUGAGACACGGUCCAAACUCCUACGGGAGGCAGCAGUGAGGAAUAUUGGUCAAUGGGCGAGAGCCUGAACCAGCCAAGUAGCGUGCAGGAUGACGGCCCUAUGGGUUGUAAACUGCUUUUAAGGGAAUAAAGUGGGUCUCGUGAGACUUUUUGCAUGUACCUUAUGAAUAAGGACCGGCUAAUUCCGUG